UAAUGUUUCAGUGUCAAAUGUCACUUGUGCAACUUUUCAGUUAUUGUUUGUAUGAUUAAUAAACAUAAUACAAAAUAAGAUAUCAGCCAGAGACACAUGAACAGCUAUUCAUUUGCUCCCAGCCAAGAGUCACGUGGUCAAGAGGUCCCCUCGUUGUCCUGGUGGUUGGACUAAGUACGGUCAUCGCUGCUUUUUCUUUAAUUCAACAGUCGCGAGUUGGGCUGAUGCUGAGAAAUGCUGCUUGAUCAUGGGGGCACAUCUUACAUCAGUUCGCAACAUCAAUGAGUACCGUGAGAUUCAGAGGCUGACUGGCAAAAAAGAAAGUUGGAUUGGAGGAACUGAUGCAUCAGAGGGCAACUAAUGCAGGGACAGCAGCUUCAAGACUUCAAGCUAUGUGCUUAAAGUCAGAUGAUCUGCUUGGACUCUGGUUUUCAAGUGCUGGGAUGAUAUGUGGUGUGAUGCUCAUCUGCCAUCUGUCUGCGCCAAGAAAAUCUGAUCAUUCUUGGACUGACACUGGAGCAUGAAAUUCCCAUAAAACACACACUGAUAUAUGAUGGUGUUUGUGUUUUGCUCGCUCUUACUUCAUUUCGUUUUGGAGCAUUAUAUUUUUCCUCUCUCUGUCAUAACAAAAUGACCAGCCAACACAAGCUGGGCUGUCCAUGAGGCAGCCUUUAAAGCAGUCCUGUCUUUAAUAAGAGCAGGCUAGUUACCAAAGGACUGGUAGUGAUUUUUUUUCUCUGCAAAGAAAACUUCUUGUUUCCUCUUGUUUAUUUUUUGCAAGAAUAAAGCUUCAAACAAGCAUGUCUCUGCAUUAUUGAAAUUGAAAUUGAAGCAGAA